rnacentral:rRNA from 1 species
UGGGGAAUAUUGCACAAUGGAGGGAACUCUGAUGCAGCGACGCCGCGUGAACGAAGAAGGCUUUCGAGUCGUAAAGUUCUUUUAUAUGGGAAGAUAAUGACGGUACCAUAAGAAAAAGCCCCGGCUAACUACGUGCCAGCAGCCGCGGUAAUACGUAGGGGGCUAGAGUUGUCCGGAAUCACUGGGCGUAAAGGGUUCGCAGGCGGAAAUGCAAGUCAGGUGUAAAAGGCAGUAGCUUAACUACUGUAAGCAUUUGAAACUGCAUAUCUUGAGAAGAGUAGAGGUAAGUGGAAUUUUUAGUGUAGCGGUGAAAUGCGUAGAUAUUAAAAAGAAUACCGGUGGCGAAGGCGACUUACUGGGCUCAUUCUGACGCUGAGGAACGAAAGCGUGGGUAGCAAACAGG